rnacentral:lncRNA from 1 species
GACAGUAUGAUUGAAAAAAGUAUUGCUUCUACAGAAAUGCCAGCUGCCGUGCCAGUUCCCACAAAAACUACUUGCUGAUGAAGGAGUCAUGUAAAGUGAGACUUGUGCUCGAUGAAGAGAGAUUCAAUGAUUUAGAGAAAUACAUAUGGUCAGUGAGCAAUCAUGACAUUUCCUUUGACCAUUUUCACCUGUGUGCUGCGCUGACAACGGACCACAUUGAAAAGUUUGGAUUCCCUUCCGAUCUUACCCUUUCACCUCAAGAAAUGGUCCAGCUUUAUGAUACCUACCAUGUUUGAAUUCUGGAAAAGUUGUCUCGGAGCUCAGGAUUUUCAGUUGAGCAUGAAGUCCAGUGGUUCUGAGAUAGACCAGAGAGAAAGGACCCUGAUCCUUGACUUCUCCCCUGCCCCACCCGCCACGUGUGCUCUGAGUUCUGACGGUUGCACGCAGAGGGAGCCCUUCCAUGGAUCAGGUCGUGAUGCCCAGACAGCGGGGCUGGAGUUACAGUGAUUGAUGAUAGCUGAGGAGAGCUCUUGACUUCUUUAUCUCUUUUUCAGAAAGCCUUUUUUUUUUCUUUU